rnacentral:lncRNA from 1 species
UUAUUACGCACGCGCGGUGUAUGUGAUGCGUGUCCGCGAAUGCGAAUUGAUCCGACAAUCUUUGCGACGAUCGAAGCCCGAAUUGGACGUACGAUUACGUUUGACGCUUGUGCAAGUGACGAUUGCAACACCGCCGUCUGUAAAUCCUUUGGAUCAGAAUCACGUCACUUUCUGUAGCUUGAUUGCUCCGGCCACACCUUAUGGCUUAGUCUGUCAGUUAAAGAGCUUCACGCUUAC